GGUGAACAGAAUUACCCUCAGGGUUGAGGGAAUUAUAAACAACGCAGCUCCUGGUAAUUUUCUCCCCUCUGGAUAGAGCCAAGUGGAAAUUGCUGCUAGUGGAUAUGCUACAGCUGCUUGUGACAUUCUGAGAAGGUGGAUAUUUGCAAAUAAUACAGUUCACUUGACCCUCGCUGCCUGGCAAUGAAAGAAAAACAAUCUGAAGUACUUUCUUGGGGUUUUGGAGGCCAUCAGCUGGAGCUGGGGAUUUGACUUAGAAAAGAUCCUCCAUUGCCAUCAGGAGUCUGAAAGUGGUCAGAGAAGUUACACCCAACACAGAAGGUGUGUCUGAAUGUCCAGGAAGUCAAAUACAGCUCGAAAGGUUAAUUAUGGAAAAUCAUGGGUAUUCAGGUACACAGAGAAAUGGCUGUCGCUUCCAAAUGACUGGAGGUAGGAGGAGAAGAAUGUUUUCCACCCAGGAAU
rnacentral:lncRNA from 1 species